UCUGUCCAAAUUGCCCAUAGAGCACACACAAAGAUUUGGCACUGAUUAAGGGAAUUAUUUUUAAAAAAACCAGGGCAGUUGCGAAACACAUGUUCUCUGGAUUCCGUCGCUCCUGCACAUUUUGGACAUAUUGCGUUUGUUGUUAAUCGUUUGUACUAUAGAUUACAUAGGGUAGGCAAGAAAUUCAUAGAACACCGCCGUACUAUAAUCUUCAACUUUGAGGGCAAAUUUAAUCCCCAUAAUUUAUUGUAAAAAUUCAUGCGAGCUAUUUAGUUGUAUAGUUUAUUAGGCUCCCUAUAUUGUUGUAAUAAAGACUUGCAAGCACUUCGAACUAAACAA